UGUGUCUGUGAUGACAACUUGGCUCCCUCUACUGAAUCCAGUGAGGAAAUCGCCUUUGUUACCCAAUUGUUACUGAGACACA
ensembl:snoRNA SNORD100 Small nucleolar RNA SNORD100